rnacentral:tRNA from 1 species
UGGGAUGUAGCUUAAAGGUUAAGUGCUUCCUUAGCAUGUAUGAAGCCCUAGGUUCAAUUCCUGGCACCACAA